rnacentral:rRNA from 1 species
AGAGUUUGAUUCUGGCUCAGAACGAACGCUGGCGGCGUGGAUAAGACAUGCAAGUCGUGCGACAGACCAGGAAUUGAUUACUUCGGUUUGAUUUUCCUGACGAUGAGCGGCGAACGGGUGCGUAACACGUGAGAAACCUGCCUUGAAGUUCGGGAUAGCUCGGCGAAAGUCGAAUUAAUACCGGAUGUGGCCUAGGGAUAGCAUUUUCCCUUGGUUAAAGCUCGGUCACAGAGCGCUUUUAGAUGGUCUCGCGGUCUAUCAGCUUGUUGGUGAGGUAACGGCUCACCAAGGCUACGACGGAUAACUGAUCUGAGAGGAUGAUCAGUCACACUGGAACUGAGACACGGUCCAGACACCUACGGGUGGCAGCAGUCGAGAAUCAUUCACAAUGGGCGCAAGCCUGAUGGUGCGACGCCGCGUGGGGGAUGAAGGGCUUCGGUCUGUAAACCCCUGUCAUCUGUGAGUAAGGUCUCGUAUAAAAGCUACGAGGAUUGAUAUUAGCAGAAGAGGAAGGGACGGCUAACUCUGUGCCAGCAGCCGCGGUAAUACAGAGGUCCCAAGCGUUGUUCGGAUUUACUGGGCGUAAAGGGUGCGUAGGCGGUUAGAAAAGUUUGGUGUGAAAUCUUCGGGCUCAACCCGGAAACUGCACUGAAAACUAUUUAACUAGAGGAUCGGAGAGGAGAUUGGAAUUCUCAGUGUAGCAGUGAAAUGCGUAGAUAUUGAGAGGAACACCAGUUGCGAAGGCGGAUCUCUGGACGAUUCCUGACGCUGAGGCACGAAAGCUGGGGGAGCGAAGAGGAUUAGAUACCCUCGUAGUCCCAGCCGUAAACGGUGCGCACUUGCUGUGGGCGGAUUCGACCCCGUCCGUGGCGAAGCUAACGCGUUAAGUGCGCCGCCUGGGGAGUACGGUCGCAAGAUUAAAACUCAAAGAAAUUGA